rnacentral:rRNA from 1 species
GACGAACGCUGGCGGCGUGCUUAACACAUGCAAGUCGAACGGAAAGGCCCUGCUUUUGUGGGGUGCUCGAGUGGCGAACGGGUGAGUAACACGUGAGUAACCUGCCCUUGACUUUGGGAUAACUUCAGGAAACUGGGGCUAAUACCGGAUAGGAGCUCCUGCUGCAUGGUGGGGGUUGGAAAGUUUCGGCGGUUGGGGAUGGACUCGCGGCUUAUCAGCUUGUUGGUGGGGUAGUGGCUUACCAAGGCUUUGACGGGUAGCCGGCCUGAGAGGGUGACCGGCCACAUUGGGACUGAGAUACGGCCCAGAAUCCUACGGGAGGCAGCAGGGGGGAAUAUUGCACAAUGGGCGGAAGCCUGAUGCAGCAACGCCGCGUGCGGGAUGACGGCCGUCGGGUUGUAAACCGCUUUCGCCUGUGACGAAGCGUGAGUGACGGUAAUGGGUAAAGAAGCACCGGCUAACUACGUG